GACGAACGCUGGCGGCGUGCCUAAUACAUGCAAGUUGAGCGCUGAAGGUUGGUACUUGUACCAACUGGAUGAGCAGCGAACGGGUGAGUAACGCGUGGGGAAUCUGCCUUUGAGCGGGGGACAACAUUUGGAAACGAAUGCUAAUACCGCAUAAAAACUUUAAACACAAGUUUUAAGUUUGAAAGAUGCAAUUGCAUCACUCAAAGAUGAUCCCGCGUUGUAUUAGCUAGUUGGUGAGGUAAAGGCUCACCAAGGCGAUGAUACAUAGCCGACCUGAGAGGGUGAUCGGCCACAAUGGGACUGGAAAACGGCCCAAACUCCUACGGGAGGCAGCAGUAGGGGAUCUUCGGCAAUGGACGAAAGUCUGACCGAGCAACGCCGCGUGAGUGAAGAAGGUUUUCGGAUCGUAAAACUCUGUUGGUAGAGAAGAACGUUGGUGGGAGUGGAAAGCUCAUCAAGUGACGGUAACUACCCAGAAAGGGACGGCUAACUACGUG
rnacentral:rRNA from 1 species